AUACGUAGGGGGCGAGCGUUGUCCGGAAUGAUUGGGCGUAAAGGGCGCGUAGGCGGCGCGGUAAGUCUGGAGUGAAAGUCCUGCUUUCAAGCUGGGAAUUGCUUUGGAUACUGCCGCGCUUGAGUGCAGGAGAGGUUAUCGGAAUUCCCGGUGUAGCGGUGAAAUGCGUAGAGAUCGGGAGGAACACCGGUGGCGAAGGCGGGUAACUGGACUGCAACUGACGCUGAGGCGCGAAAGUGUGGGGAGCAAACAGGAUUAGAUACCCUGGUAGUCCACACUGUAAACGAUGAAUGCUAGGUGUAAGAGGUAUCGACCCCUUUUGUGCCGGAGGCAACACAAUAAGCAUUCCGCCUGGGGAGUACGGCCGCAAGGUUGAAACUCAAAUGAAUUGACGGGG
rnacentral:rRNA from 1 species